AUUCAAUUAAGGCCAUAACCGAAGACAGUAGGUGCAUUUCGCUUAAUAUCCUGCCGAGGUACUAGCCAAAACAAGAAAAAAGUCAAACCCGAGUCAAGAGUUAUUCUUGAGCUUUAUCCUUUUAUCCUUGUGGCUUUUAACCCCGGCAAAACGCCAGGGGUUUCUUUAUGGUCUU
rfam:Cyanothece sp. PCC 7822, complete genome.